CCCUCCCGAAUGAAGAGGGUCUGAGCUCGACAUCUCUUCGCAUUGGAGCGAGGACGAACUUCUUUCGUUCCCCCAAGACCAAAGCGAUGGCGGCGGCUCACCGAAUACCCCGCCGGCGGAGGACGCUGGAGCUCCACUUCCGAGCAGGACGCCGGCAACACGCGUGGUGGUGAGAGAGCAGGAAGAAGAAGACGUUUUAACCCCGAUCUAACCGAGGAUUUGACAUUCAACCAGGGUUUCAAUUCUAGGUACCAAAUAUCUAACCAUCCAAACAGAAAUAUUGGUAUUGAUGUCAAUGCAAAUACCUCACGAUAUUGAUAUUACACCGA